GUUUUAGCGACUUAUCAGCGACAGUUGUAUUUUUUAAAAUAAAAUGCUGCAAAUACAUUGUAUAUGGCAGGCGCCAGGGACUGAAAUAUUAUCACGUGACCAUAAUGGGCGGUCCUCUGACUGUAUGGAAGAAAAAAAAAGCCAUUUUCUGGCGCUGCUGCAAAAUCUAACGUUAACCAACUCUAAAUAAUUUACCUGUAUCCACGUCGGGAGGUACGGGUGUUUUUCAUGUCAAAUCAGAUCCUUCCAGAUGGAUAAAAUGCAACCCAGUCGGCUAAAAAUCACAGAACUGAAUCCUAACCUGAUAUGCCCACUGUGUGUGGGCUACUUCAUCGAUGCCACAACCAUCGUGGAGUGCUUGCACUCAUUCUGCAAGACGUGCAUUGUUGCCUUCCUGGAAACCAACAAGUUCUGCCCCAGAUGUGAUGUGCAAGUACACAAGACGUGUCCACAGCUCAGCAUCAGGUCAGACAAAACUCUACAGGACAUUGUAUACAAGCUGGUGCCUGGAUUAUUCAAAGGUAAGA